rnacentral:rRNA from 1 species
UUUUAUGGAGAGUUUGAUCCUGGCUCAGGAUGAACGCUGGCGGCGUGCCUAAUACAUGCAAGUCGAGCGAACGGACGAGAAGCUUGCUUCUCUGAUGUUAGCGGCGGACGGGUGAGUAACACGUGGAUAACCUACCUAUAAGACUGGGAUAACUUCGGGAAACCGGAGCUAAUACCGGAUAAUAUUUUGAACCGCAUGGUUCAAAAGUAAAAGACGGUCUUGCUGUCACUUAUAGAUGGAUCCGCGCUGCAUUAGCUAGUUGGUAAGGUAACGGCUUACCAAGGCAACGAUGCAUAGCCGACCUGAGAGGGUGAUCGGCCACACUGGAACUGAGACACGGUCCAGACUCCUACGGGAGGCAGCAGUAGGGAAUCUUCCGCAAUGGGCGAAAGCCUGACGGAGCAACGCCGCGUGAGUGAUGAAGGUCUUCGGAUCGUAAAACUCUGUUAUUAGGGAAGAACAUAUGUGUAAGUAACUGUGCACAUCUUGACGGUACCUAAUCAGAAAGCCACGGCUAACUACGUGCCAGCAGCCGCGGUAAUACGUAGGUGGCAAGCGUUAUCCGGAAUUAUUGGGCGUAAAGCGCGCGUAGGCGGUUUUUUAAGUCUGAUGUGAAAGCCCACGGCUCAACCGUGGAGGGUCAUUGGAAACUGGAAAACUUGAGUGCAGAAGAGGAAAGUGGAAUUCCAUGUGUAGCGGUGAAA